GCCAUGCACCAGUACUGGAGCUAUGGGAGACAUGAUUAUUUUCAGAAUCGGCCUAUGAGAAAGGAGAGACACAUCUGCCAGCAUCUUGUCAUGUAUGUCAAGAUGCCAUAUACUAAGGCUAUAGUCAGAGGCUCUGAUAUGUUUUUAUUGUGCUGCUUGAUUAUGACAUUUUAAUCAUUUGGUUGGUUAUAGUAGAAAGGUGAGGGUAAAGGACCUCUGGACGGUUAAGUCCAGUCAAAGGCAACUAUGGCGGAAGCCAGAGCACACGGAAACACCGUUUAACCUUCCCGCCACAACUGUACCUUUUUAUCUACUUGCACUGGCAUGCUUUCGAACUGCUAGAUGAUGAUGAUGAUUAGAUUAGCAGAAGCUGGGACAGAGCAACGGAAACUCACCCCCGUCACAUGGAUUUGAAUGGCCAACCUUCCGAUCGGCAAGCCCAAGAGGCUCAGUGGUUUAGACCACAGCGCCACCCAUUCCCCUGAGUUAUAGUAGUAUUGAGGGGGUUUAGUAAUAAAAUUUGUAUUUGUUUCAAAAUUUUGAAGCAUGGGGAAAGUCACCAAGCCAGUGGUGGGCAUGCUGUUGCUCUGACCUUGACCAUCCAAAAAAACAAGUAGCUUUCCUUGAUUUAAAAAGCCUGUUAGGCUAUUACAGUGAGACACAUUUCUGCAUAAAAUGUAGUUUGGGUCUUAAUCUGGAGCAAAGAUGACCGGAACCUGCCGAGCCUGCUUUUGUUCAAGGCCCUGUUUAUACUUGGAUUUGCCAAGCUGUUUGAAACUUGACAGCUACCCUAUUUAGAACUUUAAUAUAAAUAAAACCUGGGCCAUGAGUCAGUUUUGUAGUGUGGAAACUUGAAAGUCUGCAUGUUCUCACACUGGAAUAUAUUACUGUAUCAUUUUGUCAAAAGUCUCUUACAUGCUUAAUGUUUUAAAACAAGCAGUGCCCUGGGGAUAAACAGUGGAUUCUGCCCCAAAUGUUAAUUUCUGGGCAAGUGCUAAAUCUAUACCCAGAGCUCUCAAUUGCAUGAAUAUUGUGCAAAGCUGCUCUUUGAUUUCACAAACUGGCAGUUGUCCAGCUUGCACAUACAAAUGUCAUCCCUCUUCCUGUAAAACUGUAACAGUAUUUCAGUGGAGAUUUACUUCAGCCAGCUUAGAAAACAUAGACACACAUUUGGACACAUCACGCCACGUGGAGGCCAGUGUUCAACUGAAAAACCAAAACACACUUGGCACAUAUGUGGCCAAACUAUAUCCUGCCUUAAUUAGGUUCUGUGUGGCAAAUUUCAUACAACAGUCAGCAUCCAAACAGUCAGCAUCCAAAAUAGACCAAAAAAGGAGGGAGAAAAAUCUCAAUACCUGUAUGCAGUAUAGAAUUUUAGUAGCAAACAAGUCCAAUGAGUUUUCGCCUACAUCAAUUUUAGGCCUUGAUCAGGAGUCAAAAUGCAAAGUUGAAACUAAAGGUUAACUGAAGCAUAAUUUAUAGUGUGCUUCUUCUAAGGCAUACAAAGUAAAGUGAUGGAUGGACAGGGUGUUACAGAAAAUCUCACACUGGUGUAUACACCAUACUCUUAAAGUAUACACCCAAAAAACCAGGGGAACCGUAGUUUACCUCCAUGGAGCUACAAUUCCCAGCACCAUUAACAACCUACGGUUUGCAUGGUUCUUGGGGGGGAUGUGUUUUGAACGUAUAGUGUGCAUGGAAAAUCAAAGAGAGAGAGAUAAAAAGGAGGAGCUGCAUUUCAAAUUGAUACGACAUAUAUAUUAGAUCUGAAAGAACACCCUGUUGCUAUUUGAUGCUUAUGAAUGCAUCUUCACAGCCUUGCGCAGUCUGACAGGUUGCCAUGGAAACAGCAGUGUCAGCAUCCAGCAGUCCAUUUGUAAAUGGACGGCUCCAUGUUCUGUAUCUCUAAAGUUGAGUGUGUGCGUGUGUAGGUGCUGAAAUAAAUUGUUUUAGAUUUAUCAGGAGUUUCACCUGAUAACAAGCAACUGAAGAUAAAACAGCAGUAAAGAAAGAUAAAAUGAUACUCCCCAGAAAAUGUUACUUGGCCCAGAACAAAACACCCCAAACACAGAGCAGAGGCAGCUCAGGACAAUCUGCUGCCUUGGGCAAAGCUCAAGAUGGUGCCUUCUCCUAAGGCACAGACAGAAGCCAAUUUGACUGGUAGUUUAAUCUUCAAUACUGGUAAAAGGACUGCAUCCUGAGGACAGCAGGCUAAUGCAAGGGGUACAGGCCAGGCAACAUGGCACUCACAUGGCACUGUCCCCUCCCUGCACCUCAGCACCUGUCACCUGAGGCAGCUGCCUCCCUCUGCCUCAUCGUAGGGCUGGCCCAGAAGAAAGGUAUUAGUUUGGUGUUAGGAAACACAAUCAGCUGGUUUGAUUUCACUCCUCAAUAUACAGCUUUACAAUGCAGAGAAAUAAUGUUUGGUUUCAUUUCAGUACACACCUGCCAUAUCUCCUUCAAGCCCUACCCAUUCCUCCAUGCAAAUUGAUGCUAGCAUAUCCUUAAAGUCCUUCAGUGAGGGAAGCUGUUAGCCGUCCUAUGCAUUACACAGCAGAAUGAGGCCGUUUUCUGAGGAAUUCCUGACUGUACCACUUCAGGUGGCAGCAGGUGAGUCCCUCUUCCUGAUCUGCUACCAUCCGACUCACCUAGCUGCUCCUCACUUCUGGGCUGGCCUCAUCCUCAAGUGCAGGGCAGGCCCAAUAUAUUUUGGCACCUGAGGCAAACCACCAAAUGCUGCUCUCCGCCUGCCAGGGAAGAAGGGCUUGGUAAAGGCCAACAUCAGGAGCAAAGGGGGAAUAAAGAUCUGCUGCACCACGACCUGCGGUCCCUGUGGAUCCUGCCAUCUGAGGCAGUUGCCUCACCUUGCCUCAUGUGUGGGCCGGUCCAGCUCAAGGGUGCAGCAGCAAAGAAGAAGGCAGGUCUGGCUCUACCGGCAGGCCUCUGCUAAUUGCUUCUCUUUCUGCCUUGUGCUGGACCUACACGGACCUGUUUAACCUUAUUAGAAUGAUAUUAGAUAUGUCUUUCUAAAAUAUCACAGGGCCUACUUGUAAAUUAAAACUGUUUCUUUGUUUUCUCCAUCAAAACAGUUUCCCUGCUGACGGUUGCUGGUUGCUCUGCAGGGCCCUCUGGUGUCACAUUUUAAUAAUGCAUUACGAAGGUUAAAAGUAAGAUGUCAUGUAUCCAUCUACAUUGUGAAAACCGUUGUUGUUGUUUAGUUGUUUAGUCAUGUCCGACUCUUUGUGACCCCAUGGACCAGAGCACGCCAGGCACUCCUGUCUUCCACUGCCUCCCGCAGUUUGGUCAGACUCAUGUUUGUAGCUUCGAGAACACUGUCCAACCAUCUCGUCCUCUGUCGUCCCCUUCUCCUUGUGCCCUCAAUCUUUCCCAACAUCAGGGUCUUUUCCAGGGAGUCUUCUCUUCUCAUGAGGUGGCCAAAGUAUUGGACUCUCAGCUUCACAAUCUGUCCUUCCAGUGAGCACUCAGGGCUAAUCUCCUUAAGAAUGGAUGCAUUUGAUCUUCUUGCAGUCCAUGGGACUCUCAAGAGUCUCCUCCAGCACCAUAAUUCAAAAGCAUCAAUUCUUCGGCGAUCAGCCUUCUUUAUGGUCCAGCUCUCACUUCCAUACAUCACUACCGGGAAAACCAUGGCUUUAACUAUACGGACCUUUGUUGGUAAGGUGAUGUUUCUGCCUUUUUUUUUUUUUUGCCUUUUUUUUUGCUUUUUAAGAUGCUGUCUAGGUGAAAACCGUUACUUAAUGUUUAAAACCAUGAGUGUCGAUCUGCCCUUGGUGCUCCUCCCCUCUCAAAUAGGAGCCUUGUUGUGAAAUGUGAUUGCUAAGAGAUGACUAAGAGGAGCCGGUGAAGAUGCCAGACUAAGGACCUGACCAAACCACAGGCCCAUCUGUCUUCAAGUUUAGUAAACGUACAAACCACUUUUUUAAGAAAACAUUCUUUGCAAAGCAGUGCAUAACAACCAAACCAACCAACAUACGCACAUCUUUAAAAUAAGACCUGCAUUUCAUAAUCAUAUAUAUAAAAAAAAGGUCAGCAGAAAAAUCGAUCAACCCAGCAAAGACUAUAAGCCACUUAAAGUUCCAUCUGCACUCAAGGGAAACUGACUAUAAAUGUGUUAUCUGACUUGAAUGGUUUUGAAUAUAACUUUUUAAUGAAAAGUUUAUAAUUUUUUAUUCUGAUGUUUAUUCUUUGUCUACUUAUGGAUUAAUUAAUUUAGGGCAUAUGCCCCUGUUAUUGCUGGUAAACAAUAUAAUUAUAAUUAUAAUUAUAAUUACAUAGCAUUAUAUGCACAAAUCAGACUUCCCAGUUUUAGUUUUUAAAAGGUGAGCCUCCCCCUCAGUAAUAGGUUUAUUGUAUCAUUUCUAAAGCUUCAGGAAAACCAUGGUAUGUGGGGCCAGCUUAUAUAAUAGAAUCAAGCCCCUCAGUGUUUUUUGGGCCAAUCCAUUUUUUGAAAGAUAACAAGUUUACUUAUGGAACGAAUGGAUGGCAGAUAGAAUUUGUUAACACAAAAUACGUAUGGACUUUUCCAAAUAUAGAAAAGUGUUCACAUUCAGAUACCAAUACAAAUAAAACAAACUGCUUGACAUAUUCCCUAGGCUCUCAUGGUACCCAGUUCAACGGCUGCUGAACUUCUUUUGCAAAGCUUUGCUGCCAGGCAACCGAAAAUUUGAUGAGGCAACGUGAGAAGCUUCAGAAGCAUGAUGUAUAUUAAAGAGUCGG